rnacentral:rRNA from 1 species
UUAAAGCUAUAAAAUUAGUACCGCAAGGGAACAGUGAAAUAUUAAUGAAAAAUCUCAAGCACACAAAAGCAGAGGUUUAACCUCGUACCUUUUGCAUCAUGGUCUAACUAGUCCAAUCAAGCAAAACGAAUUUUAGUCUGACCCCCCGAAACUAGGUGAGCUACUUAAAAACAGCCUAAGGGCCAACCCGUCUCUGUUGCAAAAGAGUGGGAAGAUUUUUAAGUAGAGGUGACAGACCUAUCGAACCUAGAGAUAGCUGGUUAUUCAGGAAAAGGAUUUUAGUCCUACCUUAGGUUCAUUAUAUCUACAAGUAUAACACUAACCUUAAGAGCUAUUCAAAUAAGGUACAGCCUAUUGAAACAGGAUACAACCUCACAGCAGCCACCUUUAAAAAAGCGUUAAAGCUUUAUUACUUUUUUAUAAAAAUUCAUCUAUUAAUUAUUAACCCCUUAACCUGUACUGAAUGAUCUCAUAACCCUAUGAGAGCCUAUAUGUUAGAACUAGUAACAAGAAGUAGUUCUUCUCCAAAAUGUAAGCCUAAGCCAAAAUGAACCAUUCAUUGGCAAUUAAAGUUAAUAAACUUCUGGUAGUAACUCUAACAAGAAAACCCUACUAAUUACAACGUUAAUCUUACACUAGCACAUUUCUGGAAAGAUUAAAAGAAAAGGAAGGAACUCGGCAAACCACUAACCCCGCCUGUUUACCAAAAACAUCGCCUCUUGAAUCUUAUAAGAGGUCCAGCCUGCCCAGUGACAAACUUAAACGGCCGCGGUACCCUAACCGUGCAAAGGUAGCGCAAUCACUUGUUCUUUAAAUGAGGACUAGUAUGAACGGCACCACGAGGGUUAUGCUGUCUCCCUACUCUAAUCAGUGAAACUGAUCUCCCCGUGAAGAAGCGGGGAUAUAAAUAUAAGACGAGAAGACCCCAUGGAGCUUUAAACUCAGUAUCAACUGCUACACCAAACAACUUUAUAUUUUGCAGUUUCUGAUUACUUGUUUUCGGUUGGGGUGACCACGGAGUAAAAACUAACCUCCAUGAUGAAAGGUAAUAAAAACCUAAACCACGAGCUACAGCUCUAAGUAUCAACAAAUUGACCACUUGAUCCAAUUUCUUGAUCAACGAACCAAGUUACCCUGGGGAUAACAGCGCAAUCCAUUUCAAGAGCUCAUAUCGACAAAUGGGUUUACGACCUCGAUGUUGGAUCAGGGUAUCCCAGUGGCGCAGCCGCUACUAACG